CAGCAGCCGCGGGAAUACGAAGGGUGCAAGCGUUAAUCGGAAUUACUGGGCGUAAAGAGCUCGUAGGCGGUUUGUCACGUCGUCUGUGAAAUUCUGCAGCUUAACUGCAGGCGUGCAGGCGAUACGGGCAGACUUGAGUACUACAGGGGAGACUGGAAUUCCUGGUGUAGCGGUGAAAUGCGCAGAUAUCAGGAGGAACACCGGUGGCGAAGGCGGGUCUCUGGGUAGUAACUGACGCUGAGGAGCGAAAGCGUGGGUAGCGAACAGGAUUAGAUACCCGGGUAGUCCCUGUCUCUUAUCA
rnacentral:rRNA from 1 species